GAUGAACGCUGGCGGCGUGCCUAAUACAUGCAAGUCGAGCGAACAGACGAGGAGCUUGCUCCUCUGACGUUAGCGGCGGACGGGUGAGUAACACGUGGAUAACCUACCUAUAAGACUGGGAUAACUUCGGGAAACCGGAGCUAAUACCGGAUAAUAUAUUGAACCGCAUGGUUCAAUAGUGAAAGACGGUUUUGCUGUCACUUAUAGAUGGAUCCGCGCCGCAUUAGCUAGUUGGUAAGGUAACGGCUUACCAAGGCAACGAUGCGUAGCCGACCUGAGAGGGUGAUCGGCCACACUGGAACUUAGACACGGUCCAGACUCCUACGGGAGGCAGCAGUAGGGAAUCUUCCGCAAUGGGCGAAAGCCUGACGGAGCAACGCCGCGUGAGUGAUGAAGGUCUUCGGAUCGUAAAACUCUGUUAUUAGUGAAGAACAAAUGUGUAAGUAACUAUGCACGUCUUGACGGUACCUAAUCAGAAAGCCACGGCUAACUACGUG
rnacentral:rRNA from 1 species